UACGGGGGGGGCAAGCGUUGUUCGGAAUUACUGGGCGUAAAGGGCUCGUAGGCGGCCCUCUCAGUCGGAUGUGAAAUCCCCAGGCUUAACCUGGGAACGGCAUCCGAUACUGGAUGGCUUGAAUUCGGGAGAGGGAUGCAGAAUUCCAGGUGUAGCGGUGAAAUGCGUAGAUAUCUGGAGGAAUACCGGUGGCGAAGGCGGCAUCCUGGACCGACAUUGACGCUGAGGAGCGAAAGCUAGGGGAGCAAACGGG
rnacentral:rRNA from 1 species